rnacentral:misc_RNA from 1 species
GAUGAAGAACGCAGCGAAAUGCGAUAAGUAAUGUGAAUUGCAGAAUUCAGUGAAUCAUCGAAUCUUUGAACGCACAUUGCGCCCGCCAGUAUUCUGGCGGGCAUGCCUGUUCGAGCGUCAUUUCAACCAUCAAGCCCCCGGCUUGUGUUGGGGACCUGCGGCUGCCGCAGGCCCUGAAAAGCAGUGGCGGGCUCGCUGUCACACCGAGCGUAGUAGCAUACAUCUCGCUCUGGGCGUGCUGCGGGUUCCGGCCGUUAAACCACCUUCAUAACCCAGGGUUGACCUCGGAUCAGGUAGGAAGACCCGCUGAACUUAAGCAUAUCAAUAAGCGGAGGA